CUCCCCCAGACUCGGAGAUCACACCUCCUGGUAAGGUAAAGGAGGCAGAUUCUUAACCCCUUCAGGGCUGGGCCACCUUAUAAGGAAGUGUGGACGACGCAGGCAACUCAUGGCUGAGUCUCAUGUCCCUGGAGGAUAUUGCAAAACACGUCUAAUUAUGUUGCUCAGGUGAAGAAGAUGGGAGAAAACACAAGCCUCAGGCCUGUUCCGUAAGUACGACUCGGCGCUCAGCUGAUCCCCCUCCUCUUCUCCCAGCUGUCAGCACGGGAUCUCGCCCCCCCUCUGCAGUGCUCAGAGCAGGGAAGACAGAUCAGACGGGUCACGGAAGCGCUCUCAGGCGCUAUAAGAAGGCAGAGCAAAGCCAGGAGGAGGCAGGCCCCACAGGGAGC